rnacentral:rRNA from 1 species
GAUGAACGCUGGCGGCGUGCUUAACACAUGCAAGUCGAACGGUGAAAGAGAGCUUGCUCUCUGGAUCAGUGGCGAACGGGUGAGUAACACGUGAGCAAUCUGCCCCUGACUCUGGGAUAAGCGCUGGAAACGGCGUCUAAUACCGGAUACGAGCUGCGAAGUCAUCUUCAGCAGCUGGAAAGAACUUCGGUCAGGGAUGAGCUCGCGGCCUAUCAGCUAGUUGGUGAGGUAACGGCUCACCAAGGCGUCGACGGGUAGCCGGCCUGAGAGGGUGACCGGCCACACUGGGACUGAGACACGGCCCAGACUCCUACGGGAGGCAGCAGUGGGGAAUAUUGCACAAUGGGCGAAAGCCUGAUGCAGCAACGCCGCGUGAGGGACGACGGCCUUCGGGUUGUAAACCUCUUUUAGCAGGGAAGAAGCGAAAGUGACGGUACCUGCAGAAAAAGCACCGGCUAACUACGUG